rnacentral:misc_RNA from 1 species
UACAGAGGGUGCAAGCGUUAAUCGGAAUUACUGGGCGUAAAGAGCACGUAGGCGGAUAUUUAAGUCAGAUGUGAAAGCCCUGGGCUCAACCUAGGAACUGCAUUUGAUACUGGAUGUCUAGAGUAUAGUAGAGGGAAGUGGAAUUUCCGGUGUAGCGGUGAAAUGCAUAGAUAUCGGAAGGAACACCAGUGGCGAAGGCGACUUCCUGGACUAAUACUGACGCUGAGGUGCGAAAGCGUGGGGAGCAAACAGG